rnacentral:sRNA from 13 species
CCUCUCUGAAAUAACAAUGGCGUAAGGAAACUCACUCAACCAAAAACGGAUUAAGUGGGGAUGGCAAAAAAAAACAGCUAAAAUCGCCGGCAAAGAGGCGCAAAAACUUGACCAGGCCAACGAUGGAUGGUGGCGAAUUAUUAUGCAGCAGCAAUUACUCGCCAAUUGUCGUCGCAAUGAGAUAGUAUAGAGAAUGGGAACAAAAGAGGAAAAAGCUGUUCGAAAAGGCGAUAAUCCGGUCGUCGGGAACGAUGGACAUCGAAUCGAAUCGAAUCGGAUCGGAUCGCAAUGAUCAAACGCCUCUGGAACUUGGGAUCUUGGCCAGCUCAACGGUUUUGGCCCGGCCGGCUAUGACCAAAUGCAGAGGAUCAGGAGUUGCCAGUCGCCCCCUGUGAUUAUUUUUAUUAUAAUUGCGCGUUUAUUGGCGUGAGGAUAUGUGUUGCCACUCGAAUCCGUGGGGACACUCGCUACACAAUCGCACCGCCUCGACUUGGUACACAAACGGCAAACGGCAAAUCGGCUUUGAUUUGUGUGGCAAACUUGGCGCUUGUUAUACAGCAUUUUUGCGUCUCUUAAAUGCUGCAUUUUCCUCUGCAUUUGUUGCUCUUUAGUUUAAAUGGCUUAUAUGACUUAUAUAUGGGUUGCAAAGAAGUCUAUGAAGAUGACAUUGUGUUAGACUCUUGAGGCUUGUAGAACACCAUUGCAUUAAGCUUUCUUUAGGGAUUUUAGGAUCAAAAAUGGUUUAGACUUUCAAUUAAUUAAAAGUAUAGAUCGAAAGCUUAAUUUAAUUGUAUUACCUUAAUAUAAUUUAAAAAUUUAUACAUCAAUUUUAUUACAAGGUUUGCUAUCAUCGUUUUUCUCCUAGUUUUCACUUCAAAAUGUAUAAUUCUUUAAAAUGCCUGUACCAAUUAAGUGUGGUUUACAAAAUCAAACACAAGAACCCAAAAUAAAUAACAAUUCUUAUGUUGUUCAUAUCAGAUCUGGUUUAUUGUAAUGUCUAAUGGCUUAUUUCCCACUUGUCAUAUCAAUAAUCUCGAUUGGAGCCUCACCUUCAUUACCUCAUCAAUUAUUUCAAGCAAAUGCAAUUCAAUUAGGAAGUGCAUUUAUAAUAACCCAAGUCGAACUGUAAACUCGAAUUUAAGUUGUUAAAUUAUAUUUCAAGUAGAUUUCAAAUCAAGAAAUUGCCGUUGGCGCCAACAGUUCCAACAAAGGCGUUAAACUGUUGGAAAUCUUCCUGAAAUAAUUAACUAUUGAGCUGAAAAGCAAUUGAAAACACAAAAAGUGUUUUACAGAUGAAAAUCUCGAGCAAUUUUCAGACCCAGCCUAUCAUUUUUUACUG